rnacentral:rRNA from 1 species
AACGAACGCUGGCGGCGUGCUUAACACAUGCAAGUCGAACGUGAAAGUCCUUCGGGAUGAGUAAAGUGGCGCACGGGUGAGUAAUACAUAAGAACGUACCUACGAGUGGGGAAUAACCAUCGGAAACGAUGGCUAAUACCGCAUGAUGUCGCAAGACCAAAAGGGGCCUAUCCUUGGAAGCUCUUGCUCGUAGAUCGGCUUAUGUCCCAUUAGCUAGUUGGUAAGGUAAAGGCUUACCAAGGCUAUGAUGGGUAGCUGGUCUGAGAGGAUGAUCAGCCACACUGGAACUGAGACACGGUCCAGACUCCUACGGGAGGCAGCAGUGGGGAAUCUUGCACAAUGGGCGAAAGCCUGAUGCAGCAACGCCGCGUGAGUGAAGAAGGUUCUUGGAUUGUAAAGCUCUUUCGGCUGGGAAGAAGGGAUUUGGAAUUAAUACCUCCAGAUUCUGACGGUACUAGAAGAAGAAGCACCGGCUAACUCCGUGCCAGCCGCCGCUGUAA